CCUACGGGAGGCAGCAGUAGGGAAUCUUCCACAAUGGGCGAAAGCCUGAUGGAGCAACGCCGCGUGGGUGAAGAAGGUCUUCGGAUCGUAAAACCCUGUUGUUAGAGAAGAAAGUGCGUGAGAGUAACUGUUCACGUGUCGACGGUAUCGAACCAGAAAGCCACGGCUAACUACGUGCCAGCAGCCGCGGUAAUACGUAGGUGGCAAGCGUUAUCCGGAUUUAUGGGGCGUAACGGGAACGCAGGCGUUCUUUUAAGUCUGAUGGGAAAGCCUUCGGCUUAACCGGAGUAGUGCAUUGGAAACUGGGAGACUUGCGUGCAGCAGAGGAGAGUGGACCUCCAUUUGUAGCG
rnacentral:rRNA from 1 species